rnacentral:rRNA from 1 species
GUAGGGAAGAAGCGAAAGUGACGGUACCUGCAGAAAAAGCACCGGCUAACUACGUGCCAGCAGCCGCGGUAAUACGUAGGGUGCAAGCGUUGUCCGGAAUUAUUGGGCGUAAAGAGCUCGUAGGCGGUUUGUCGCGUCUGCUGUGAAAUCCCGAGGCUCAACCUCGGGUCUGCAGUGGGUACGGGCAGACUAGAGUGCGGUAGGGGAGAUUGGAAUUCCUGGUGUAGCGGUGGAAUGCGCAGAUAUCAGGAGGAACACCGAUGGCGAAGGCAGAUCUCUGGGCCGUAACUGACGCUGAGGAGCGAAAGCAUGGGGAGCGAACAGGAUUAGAUACCCUGGUAGUCCAUGCCGUAAACGUUGGGAACUAGAUGUGGGGACCAUUCCACGGUCUCCGUGUCGCAGCUAACGCAUUAAGUUCCCCGCCUGGGGAGUACGGCCGCAAGGCUAAAACUCAAAGGAAUUGACGGGGGCCCGCACAAGCGGCGGAGCAUGCGGAUUAAUUCGAUGCAACGCGAAGAACCUUACCAAGGCUUGACAUAUACCGGAAACAUGCAGAAAUGUGUGCCCCGCAAGGUCGGUAUACAGGUGGUGCAUGGUUGUCGUCAGCUCGUGUCGUGAGAUGUUGGGUUAAGUCCCGCAACGAGCGCAACCCUCGUUCUAUGUUGCCAGCACGUAAUGGUGGGAACUCAUAGGAGACUGCCGGGGUCAACUCGGAGGAAGGUGGGGAUGACGUCAAAUCAUCAUGCCCCUUAUGUCUUGGGCUUCACGCAUGCUACAAUGGCCGGUACAAAGGGCUGCGAUACCGUAAGGUGGAGCGAAUCCCAAAAAGCCGGUCUCAGUUCGGAUUGAGGUCUGCAACUCGACCUCAUGAAGUCGGAGUCGCUAGUAAUCGCAGAUCAGCAACGCUGCGGUGAAUACGUUCCCGGGCCUUGUACACACCGCCCGUCAAGUCAUGAAAGUCGGUAACACCCGAAGCCAGUGGCCUAACCGCAAGGGAGGAGCUGUCGAAGGUGGGAUCGGUGAUUAGGACUAAGUCGUAACAAGGUAGCCGUACCGGAAGGUGCGGCUGGAUCACCUCCUUU